GUGCUCGCUUCGGCAGCACACGCAGUAAAAUUGGAACAAUUCAGAGAAGGUUAGCAAGGCCCCUGCACAAGUAUGACAUACAUUCAUGAAGUGUUUCAUAUUAAA